rnacentral:rRNA from 1 species
AUUGAACGCUGGCGGCAUGCUUUACACAUGCAAGUCGAACGGCAGCACGGGGGCAACCCUGGUGGCGAGUGGCGAACGGGUGAGUAAUGCAUCGGAACGUAUCUUUAAGUGGGGGAUAACGCAGCGAAAGCUGUGCUAAUACCGCAUAAUCUCUGAGGAGAAAAGCAGGGGAUCGCAAGACCUUGCGCUUUUGGAGCGGCCGAUGUCUGAUUAGCUAGUUGGUGAGGUAAAGGCUCACCAAGGCUCCGAUCAGUAGCUGGUCUGAGAGGACGACCAGCCACACUGGGACUGAGACACGGCCCAGACUCCUACGGGAGGCAGCAGUGGGGAAUUUUGGACAAUGGGGGCAACCCUGAUCCAGCCAUGCCGCGUGAGUGAAGAAGGCCUUCGGGUUGUAAAGCUCUUUCAGCCGGAACGAAACGGUUACAGCUAAUACCUGUGACUUCUGACGGUACCGGAAGAAGAAGCACCGGCUAACUACGUGCCAGCAGCCGCGGUAAUACGUAGGGUGCGAGCGUUAAUCGGAAUUACUGGGCGUAAAGGGUGCGCAGGCGGUUUUGUAAGUCAGAUGUGAAAUCCCCGGGCUUAACCUGGGACCUGCAUUUGUGACUGUAUAGCUAGAGUACGGUAGAGGGGGAUGGAAUUCCGCGUGUAGCAGUGAAAUGCGUAGAUAUGCGGAGGAACACCGAUGGCGAAGGCAAUCCCCUGGACCUGUACUGACGCUCAUGCACGAAAGCGUGGGGAGCAAACAGGAUUAGAUACCCUGGUAGUCCACGCCCUAAACGAUGUCAACUGGUUGUUGGGUCUUCACUGACUCAGUAACGAAGCUAACGCGUGAAGUUGACCGCCUGGGGAGUACGGCCGCAAGGUUG